GUGUCUCGCAUUGAACAUCCGAUAAAAUUGAAACGAUACAUAGAAAGUUAGCAUGGCCCAUGCGUAAGGACGACACGCGCCAAUCGAAAAAUAAUCCGAUUUUUU